AUGCUUGCAGUGAGAAUUUUUUUUUUUAAAGAUUGGGAAAUAGAAGAGAAAAUCUGGAAAGAGAAAGCACCAUGGAUUUCCUUUUUCUAUCUUCACCAAUAAACAGUUGAGAGAAGGGCAAUUUUUUAGCGUCUAUUAAAACUUUAAGAAGGAUAGCAUUCACAAGAUGUAAGGACCCUGGCCCAGGGAACUUGGCUUCCUUCACUGCUGCUUCUGACUGUGGUCUCCAGAAUCCAGACCAGUAUAUUCAGAACAUCUCUCUUCAGAACGUUUGUGGAAUAGAGUUAGACUCAGCAAUUCCACUUCCCAGGGUUUGCUUGCCAUUUCCACCUUUGCUGUGGCAUUGAAGGACCCCACGAUUCCAGUGUGUUACAGCACUAACUGCCUCUUUCUCAGCCAUUCCAUGUGGGGGGCUCAGGUCGGCUCUGGUCAGCCUUGGGUGUGUUCCUGCUCUGGGACCCAAGCUGGAGGAAGCAGCUUUAAUCUCAGAUAGGAGAUAGCUAUGGUAAGGUAGAUCUCUGUGGCAUGGACAAAUCCCCCAAAUAUCCUAUUGGGUGGAAAAAACACAUUGCCAAAUAAUAUGUUUAAUAAAAGAAAAAGUAGAGCGCACUGCCUUUGGCGGGCCCAUGUAUGUCUAUCAGUGCCUCUAUGAAGUGUGGCAAAAUAUUACCAACCUGAUGGCAGGUGCCAGCCAGGAAGAGGAAGGGCUUCAGUAAAGGCUGGGCUGGAGCUCCUGUUCUUCCAAUGUGAGGUAGUUAGUGUGAACUGUUCCACCCAAGAAGAGAAGGAAAAUGAAAAUCUGACACAGUUGCCAGCUUCUCGGAUGCUCUUUCUUCAUCUGGUGAGGCAGAAAGGGCAGUUUGUAAAGUACCAGCUGGCUUUGCUUAUCAAACGCAACUCCCGUGCUAACCAGUUCCUUUUAAGAGUGACCCUGAAACCAAGAGCUAAAUGUGGUUUAAUGACAUUUUAAGAUUUCUGGCAACGGUUUGUUUUGCGUAGGAAGAAACUCCAAGGAGCCAGGCCUUGAUUUGACCCCGAGAGGUUGUGUGCGUGACACACGUCACUCCACGUUGCUUGCGCACCCUAAUGGGGUUUCUCACCCACGGAGUUCCCAGACGAAGUAAUCUGUUCUCAUUCUGGUCACUUGGAUCAUGAGGAAAAAGAGCACAUAACUCCUUCCAUCCUGAGUGAAGUCUGCCUGAACCUGACAGGUGUCCGAGCCUUUCAUUCUCUCCUCAAGCAAGGCUUAAUGGAGACUUCGUUCCCGGGGAAGAUGAGAAAUGACUGCUGCUGUGGACUGCAUCGCCGUGGAUGGAACUGUUCCUUCUGAGCUGCGUCAGUGCAUGCAGGGGCACACCCCCAAGAGAUAUGGCUGUGGGAAACAGAAGUGGCGUGACAGAAGGGAACAGCAGAGUUCUCUGCAGCAUGACCCAGAAAGCCUCUCCCUGCUCAACUGUUGUCCAGCACCCGGUCCUCCCCUGGGGAGGGCUCUGCAGCUGUGAGCACCCUCUAAGGACUGACACUUGGUAGGUCGACUGUACAGCAGUCCCUCUGCUCUGCUAACGAGCAGAGCCUGUGAAACGGCUGCUCAAGGUAAGCAGGGAUGAUGCUGUCAUUUUUGUCUCCAUUAAAACAUCUACCUCUGUCGUUUUCAGCUCCCCUUCCCGUGCCCCUCCCUCCAGGUGGAUAACCCCAGUCUUCAGGACCCUGAGCUAGCUAAGUCACUCAAGCUUGUUCUUUGAUGGAAAGGGGAAGGGUCUGACCUUGGCUAUUUAUAUUUAUUGCUUAAUUACUUCAUUAGAAUUUAGAUUAGAUUCAAUUAGAUUAAACACAAAUGUUCAGAAAAAGCAUUUCAAUUUGUGGCUUUUUUUCUCUCACUGUGGAAUGAUGGAUUUUGUCAUCACUGGUGAAAAGAGUUUGAGGUAUUUAUAAGAAAGAGAAAAAGUGUCCUGGGAAAUGAGAGUUUCUGCCUUCUUGCUCAAGCAGAAUGAAAAAUAAACUUUAAAAGAUGACAGGGAGAAAAUUCUGAUUUUUGAAGUUCUUUCUCCAAAACUCCCUCUCUUCUGAUAAGAGUGAGCAAAAGAUGGGCUCUUCGACGUGUGGUGCUGGGAAGCUCACGUGGAGGUUUGGAAACCAGGAGACUGACCCAUCCGUCCGUGUCGGUCCUUUCGUAACAGAUCCGCUUCCACCCCCCUUCUAUUCCGUGGGUUUAAAUGCUGUACUUUCUGAUACAUGUUCAUGUUGUUUGUAUCAUGUCUUGGAAUUCAUUCACUUAUUUAGUGGAUGUUAACUGAGGGUCCACCUUAGAAUUAGACAAGAACAAAAAUAGACAAAAGCUAUUUUUACCAUCAUGGAGCUUAUACGCGAGCAUUAAAAAGUCAAAUGCCGAGCAGCAAGCGUAAUAACAAGCAGAUCGCAUGGUGUGUUAGAAGGUGUCAGAGCUGAGAAGAAGGGCAGCAGUGUAAUGUGCUCGGGGUUCUCAGGGCACGGGGGUGGGGGCGCCUUGAUAUGGGGUGGUCCGGAAAGGACUUAUGGAAGGGGACAUUGGUGAAAGAUAUGACAACGUUGAGGGGUUUAGCCACACAGACAUCUGAGGGAUGGGGGUUCCAGGCCGCGCGAGAGGAGGGCAAAGGCUCAGGACACAAGAUGCCUGCUGUGCUCAAAGGACGGAGCAUGUGGCUAGAGCUGAGAGGCCCAGGCAGAAGCUCACAGAAGGCUUCGGGGAGGCCGGAGGGGCCGAGGGAUGCAGGGCCUCCUCAGCCACCAUGAAGAUUUAGACUUUCACUCCGAGUGAAACGAAGAGGAGCCUCUGAGAGUUUUGAGCAGGGAGUGAAUCACAGGAUCUAACUUUCUUUUCAUACAUCACCUGGCUGCUGUCCUGAGGCAAGGACAGUUACGGGGCGAGGAUGUAAGUGGAGAGGCCAGUUAGAAGACAUUACAGCAAUCCAGGAGAAAGAUGACAGUAGUUUUCAUCAAUAGCAUCGCGAUAGGGGUGGCAGGAAGUGGUUGGAUUCUAGACAUGAUUUUAUUUCUUUAUUUAUUUUAGAGAUAGGGCCUUGCCUUGUCACCCAGGCUGGAGCGUAGUGGUGCAAUCGUGGCUCACUGCAACCUAGGACUCCUGGACUCAAGCGAUCCUCCCACCUCAGCCUCCAGAGCAGCUAGGUCUGCAGGUGUGCCACCACACCCAGAUACUCCAGGACAAAUGACAAGUGAAAAAGCUGAACAGUAAUUUCAGGAACCUGAGACGCGUCCCCAGAGCAGCGGGCUGUCAGGGGGCUUUGCCGUCUUCUGACCUCAGGCUGCUCCGCUUUAGAGGACCACAGCCUACGAUUCAUGUCAGAUACUUACCUCCCCUGUGUUCCAGGCUGAAUUGUAUCACCCCGAAAUUCAUGUGCUGAAGGACAUCGAAGGUGGACAUACUGGAGAUAACAGCCUUUGAGGGGUAAUUAAGAUAAGAUGGCCUCUUUAGGGUGGGGCCCUAGUCCAGUCUGACAGGUGUCCUUAUGAGAAGAGGAGCUGAGGACCCCGCCACACAGAGGACACAGAAGGAAGACAGCCAUCCCCACGCAAGGACAGAGGCCUCGGGAGAAACACCAGCACCUGGGCCUUCCAGGCUUCAGAACAGUGAGGAGAGAAACCCGUGUGGUCCAAGCUGUGUGGUCCAAGUGCCUCCUGCCAGCCAAGGAGGAAAACGAUGAGGCCGGAAGAAAAGGCCCGGAGAUUGGGAAGUGAGACCCAUUCUGCCACUAGCAUCGCCUCAUCGCAAAAGAGCUGCAAGGCGAACAAGGAAGAAUGAAAGACGGAGCUAAAAAGAUCGACAUGCGGAGAGCAGUAGCUGGUUGGAGCAGCUGGAACAGACUGAAGCAUUCCAGGCAGAACUGCAAGUGAACGACGGGGAAAUACAUCACCGUGGGAGAGAGCGGGACUAGUUCAUCUCCAUCUUCAACCCAGCAACACUCUUCUUUCAUGGGAGGGAAAGGAUAGCCACGUGAAAAUCGACAGAUGGGCUUGGAUUCUAGCAGCAGGAAGGGAACCAAGGAAGCCGUCCUGAGGGAGGAGGCUCUGAGGUGGGCCUGGAAGAACUAGGGGGCCUUGAGGCGCAGGACUUGCCGUGUGAAGGUUCCGCCGCCCUUGCCCCAACACUGCGCUUCUACGAACAGAACGAGGCAGGAGCUUCCAGAGGUCCUCGGGGGCGGCUUUGUGGCUGGGCUGGAGUGUUACCGUGCGCUUUCCCUGUUUAGUCUGCUCGGGUUCGGGCUACCCUAAGAAAGGAAUGCACACCGGGGGCUUAUGACAUGCGUAUUCUCUCGGGGGAGAGCGCAGGGCUGACAUCAAGGGUGGUUCCUUCUGGGGGCUGUGAGGGAGAAGCUGCCUCAGGGCUCUGCCCCGGCUUCUGGAGUUCGCUGCUCGCUCUGGUGCUCCUUGGCUUGUAGAGGUGUCGUCCCGAUCUCUGCCUUCAUCUUUAUGUGACCUCUGUCCCUGAAUCUUUCCUGCUUUUUUGUUUUCCUUGAGACAGAGUCUUUGUCACCCAGGCUGGGGGGCAGUGACAGGAUCUCAGCUCACUGCAGCCUCCGCCUCCCAGGUUCAAGCAAUUCUCUGCCUCAGCCUCCUGAGCAGCUGGGACUAUAGGUGCACCUCCACGCCCAGCUACUUUGUGUAUUUUUAGUAGAGAUGGGGUUUUGCUGUCUUGGCCAGGCGGGUCUUGAGCUCCUGACCCCGUGAUCCACCCGCCUCGCCUUCCCAAAGUGCUGGGAUUACAGGCGUGAGCCACCGCGCCCGGCCAGUCUUGUCUUUUUAUAGAGAUGUCAGUCACAUGAUUAGGAGCCAUCUGCCCCAGUAUGACCUCACCUGAACAAAUGACAUUUGUGAUGGCCCUAUUUCCAAGUGAGGCCACAUUUGAGAUCCUGGAGUUUAAGACUUCAACGUGUGACUUUGUGGAGGACACAGUUCCACCCACAGCAGUCUUCUGUGCUCUGCUCUAGAGACAGCCCCCAUCGUUUGAAGGUCCUUAACUCAAAUGUUGCACUGGAGCGAGCAGAAAACCAACACCAAGACAAAGACAGAAUGAGAAGUGACUGCUGACGUCAUUCCAAGUGGGGCGGUGAGUCUGCAGAACUGACUCCAGCAGUCCUGUGAGUGCCACGGCUUUUCAGAGAACGGAGGGUGCUGAGCCUCCCAAUUGUACAAGUCACCUGAGGAAAGGGGCAUGUGGACAAAGAAUGGGUGACCCUGGCUACUGUCUUCCAUGGGGGGCAUCUUUUGGAGGUGGGUGUGGGCCCCUCUGUGGGUAUGCAGUGGGGACAAGGGCUGGCUACUGGUGCUGUCUGGGUGGAGUGUUGAGGUUCUGGCCUAGGCCUAGGGUAAGGUGGGGGCAACUCUUGUUCCUCCUUCAUGGUCCUUUUUAUGCAGUUGAUUAACUGUGGUGUCGGGGGCGGGAGGCAUCAGAACAGAUUUAGCCACUGAUCAAUGUAUGGGUCACGGUGCCCAGAGGGACCUGUCACAACAUUCCAUACUGCUUGGGUGAAUUUUGGAUUGUAGGUUCCCGUGUCUGGCUACCCCACUCCAAAUGCCGGCCACUCUAGUUCGCACAAUGUGCGGAGUUUUCCCGGUGUUAAUUUUCCCCUAUGUCCUGAAAACCCCAUUUUGAAAUUGGCCGUCAUGCAUUGGAGCGGGGUGCCAGGCCGGGAGCUAGAUGACCCCAUUUGGUUUUUCUCAGGGUCCUGGAACCGGUUUUAACUAUGCUUUUUUGGUUUGUUUUAAGCCAAUAUAGAUGGAAAAGUUCUGCUAUAGAGAGAGCCAAUUUUAAGCAAGACAAAUUAUACUGAACUUCAAAGUUCUAUAGCUGUUAGCUUUUGAAGUUUUCCGAGAGGUUUCCUCUCAAAUUUAAGACUGGCUCCACCGAGGAUUUGAACCAGCAACUUUACAGUUGCAGGCCCUAUACUUUAACUACUGUGCUAACAUACCACUUGUAGUAAAGGUAGGCAGAAAGCUUUCUUGAGUCGUAUUUUGGAUGCAAAUGCUGCACCCUGAGGUG